GACGUAGGAUGCAAGCGUUGUCCGGAUUUAUUGGGCGUAAAGAGUUCGUAGGUGGUUUGUUAAGUCUGAUGUUAAAGACUGGGGCUCAACCUCGGAAAUGCAUUGGAUACUGGCAGACUUGAGUGCAGUAGAGGCAAGCGGAAUUCCAGGUGUAGCGGUGAAAUGCGUAGAUAUCUGGAAGAACACCGGUGGCGCAAGCGGCUUGCUGGGCUGUAACUGACACUGAGGAACGAAAGCUAGGGGAGCGAAUGGG
rnacentral:rRNA from 1 species